ACCUGAUGGCUUCAGGUCACCAGCAAUGGUCCAGAGCUGAGAGCUGUGCCUGAGUUUGUUUCUCCCACAGUAUCUGGGCUGAGCAUGGUUGCAUGAAAUUAGAAAAGCAGUCAGCUCCAAUUGGCUCAGGGCAGAGCUUCUAAAAGAGAGAAUUUCUUGACAGUCACACAAUAAAUUUCAAAAAGUUGUCAUCAGUGAAAUCUGUGCAUGAUGGUUCUCACCUACGUUCGAUCAAAAAUGGCUCAUGAUUUCAGGUUCCUUCGAAUUGGUCACUGAAAAUGGUGCUGUUCCUGUGUUCCUAUUCUAGUUUUCUUAAAAUCAUAGAAUUCUUUGGGUUGGAAGGGACCUUAAAGUUCAUCUCACUCCAGCCUCCCUGCCAGGGACACCUUCCACCAUCCCAGGGUGCUCCAAGCCCCAUCCAGCCUGGCCUGGGACACUUCCAGGGAUCCAGGGGCAGCCACAGCAUCCUCACAAGGGAGAAUUUCCUUCUAAAAUCUAACCUAAAUCUACUCUUCUUCGGUUUAAAGCCAUUCCCCCUUGCCCAAAGUCCCUUUCUAGUUCUCCUGGAGCCCCUUUAGUCUUCUAAGGUCUCCCCAAAACCUCCUCCAGGCUGAGCAACCCCAACUGUCCCAAUUUGUUGCCACCUUUCAAUCUUUCCAUGGUUUUCACCUGUAACAACAGCCUCUGUGCAUGCCCUCAGUGGCCAGGAUGCCAAGUUUUAAAGUCUUUUGCAAAUAUUUCUGAAAUAUUUUUGCGGUUAGGAAAUACAAAUGCAAGGUAAACUCCGAGUUGCCCAUCACGUUUCCUUCCACAGGGCAUGGACACCAGCUGGAGUUCCUCUUGCAGCAGUGCACUGAACCAAUCAAUGUCUGGGAUUUUAAAGCAGUGUUAAUCUAAAGCAACGAGUUCUGAAUAAUGUUUAUUAACUAUAUUUUAAUGACUUGUCAGUUUUCUAAAACACAUGCUGAAGUAUUUCAGAAAUCACUUAGUAAAUGCAGUUUUAAUUCUGUUCCCAUAUUCAUGGGCUGCUACUUACUUUAAGAAAAAAAAAGAGAUUAGAAGGUUCAGAUUUAGAGCAGCAAAUUGCUCUGCUAAUCUGCAGGUAUUUCUCUUCUUGAUAUGGCCACUAAUGUCUAAUCUUAGCAACGCAGGCUCAAUCAUUGUGCUUUUUCAUUAGAGCUGCAAUGAACUGUGUGCCAGGGACUUGAACUCUGGUGACAAGCUGCUCCAAGCCUGCGAGCUUUCACAGGAAAAUCUUCUGUGAGAGUCUAAAAUGAUCCUGUUAAGUUUGUGCAAAAGAUGGGGAGUUCACAAUACGAGCUCUGGUAGGAGCAGAGUGCCUGUGAACCUCUGGGCAGUGUGGGGUUAGGGCUGGCCACGAAAAAGGGUCUAUGCCAUGAAAAAUAUUCAAAACUUUUAAUUUGUUUCCAUUUCUCAUGAGACAGAAAAAAGAAAACCUUGGGAACUUUUUUUUUUUUUUUUUCCUGCAAAAUGUCGUGGAGUAAGGCUGUGGAGCACAUCUUUCCUUCUGGAUGCUGUCAGCAGUGUUGGGAAUGUCUUCAGAGCUGGGAUUUGGACCUGGACCUCCUCCUGCCAUCCCUGGGCGUGUAUGGGUCUGAUUCAGUCUUACAGUUUUGAUGUCUCAAACAAACGUCAGCACCUUUACAAGGAGCACAUUGACAAGUGGAGGAGACAAGCAAGUGGGCUGAGAAGACAUCUGCCUCCAAUAUUCUGAUGUACCUCGAGGACCUGCUUCUGGAGCCAGUCCUUGUUUUGAGGAUCAAAUCUGCAUUUCCUGAGCGCUUGAGGAAAGCCUGUCAGCGUGAUCAGCAUCAGCAUCACUCAGCAGGACCUGUUGAGGAGCCAGUGCUUGGGCUGGGCCCUUCACAGUGCUGGUUUAUCCUUUUUAAAAUCUAAUCCUGAGGCUACACGAAUUUCCAUCAUUUCACUUGGAAAAAUUUCUGAUAGCUGAGCAAAACUGUCUCAGGAAAAGAUGAAGAAACUCGAAGAACAAACAGCAAUAUUGGAUGGCAGAUGAGACAAACCUAAAUUUUACAAUGAAGGAAGAGGUUAUCAAAGUUUCACUCUCACAAACUGGUUUCUUUUAAGGGGUUGAAGGCAAGUGGUUGUGGCAGGUCAGGUUAUCAUGUUGUGCUAUAGUUAGAACUCUGGGCUGGUUCUGUGCUGUUGUUUGUUGAGAUGACUAAGUUGUCAUUUUUAAUUAGCUUUAUGCUCCUCUCAAAGGCUAAUUACUUUACUUUUUAUCAAGAACACUUGAUUGAUAAUGACAAGGGUGCCAUGGUUACGUAUUUUUAGAGAAUUCCCCAACCUGCACCAUUAUGUGAUUUCCUGUUCCCCCUGGAUUCUUUGUGCAGUAAAGCCUUCAAUAAAAAUAAUGGUUAAGAAAAAUGGAACUUUACUAAAGAUAUUGUUGGAAAAGAGUAUUUCUUGUUUUCUUUUUGGCAGGAAGGCCACUGCUAAUGUAUUUACUCAGGGUAAAAACCAUUAUGCUUAGUUUACUUUCCUGUCAGUGACACUCAGGUCGCUCCAUUACCUUCACUGAAGUUACCUCAGACAAACUGAAUUUGAGACCUUCCUUUUUCCCCCCCUCUCAUUUGUCUAUAGCUGUACAUCUCCCCUGGUCAUCAUGGAAAUCUGCACUGACUGAACUGGAUCCUUAUUUCCAGUUGUGGACAUGGCACAACCAGACACUGAUUUUCAG